GAUGAACGCUGGCGGCGUGCUUAACACAUGCAAGUCGAACGGUGAAGGCGGAGCUUGCUCUGCUGGAUCAGUGGCGAACGGGUGAGAACCCCUUAACCAUCUUCCCCCUACCCUGGGGUUAGCGGUGGAAACCGCCUCCAAUUCUGGGUUCGGAGCGCCGAAGCAUCCUUAGCCGCUUGAAAGAACUUUGGUCAGGGAUUAGGUCGCGGCCUAUCAGCUUGUUGGUGAGGUAACGGCUCACCAAGGCGUCGACGGGUAGCCGGCCUGAGAGGGUGACCGGCCACACUGGGACUGAGACACGGCCCAGACUCCUACGGGAGGCAGCAGUGGGGAAUAUUGCACAAUGGGCGAAAGCCUGAUGCAGCAACGCCGCGUGAGGGACGACGGCCUUCGGGUUGUAAACCUCUUUUAGCAGGGAAGAAGCGAAAGUGACGGUACCUGCAGAAAAAGCGCCGGCUAACUACGUG
rnacentral:rRNA from 1 species